rnacentral:misc_RNA from 1 species
UUCUUUUCCAGGACAUGUUAGAGGUCGUUACAAGGGAUAUUAUGGACGAACAAUUUCCUGGUCUUCUGGAUUCCAGUCAUGGAGGUGUUUAUGGAAGGGAUGAGUUGAUGACGCCGUUGGACCAACAGUUUCAAUUAUUUGGCGCCCCUGGAGCUUUCAAGUUCCCUGUACCAGAGUCACCUGCAUGGAAAGAGAAGCUCAAAAGACUCCUGCUGCUACUCACUGAG